rnacentral:rRNA from 1 species
UUCCAGACUCCUACGGGGGGCAGCAGUGAGGAAUAUUGGUCAAUGGGCGUAAGCCUGAACCAGCCAAGUCGCGUGAGGGACGACGGCCCUACGGGUUGUAAACCUCUUUUGCCGGGGGACAAACGGCGGCACGCGUGCCGUCCUGAGGGUACCCGGAGAAAAAGCAUCGGCUAACUCCGUGCCAGCAGCCGCGGUAAUACGGAGGAUGCGAGCGUUAUCCGGAUUUAUUGGGUUUAAAGGGUGCGUAGGCGGGGUGUUAAGUCAGCGGUCAAAUGUCGGGGCUCAACCCCGGCCUGCCGUUGAAACUGGCAGUCUCGAGUUGGAGAGAAGUAUGCGGAAUGCGCGGUGUAGCGGUGAAAUGCAUAGAUAUCGCGCAGAACUCCGAUUGCGAAGGCAGCAUGCCGGCUCCACACUGACGCUGAGGCACGAAAGCGUGGGUAUCGAACAGGAUUAGAUACCCUAGUACAC